UUAACCAUAUGUGCCAUCCCAGCAUUGAUCAUCGCAUUCAUCACAGGAAGUUAUGCAGUGCUAGCUCCAUCAUUUUGGCUUGCAAUCACGAUUUGUUUCAUUGGUGUAUCCUUCAUCUUCUUUGCGUUCAGGGCAUUCAAAGUUGAAUUGUACACCCUUUUAAAAACUUGAAAAUAAACACUUCACAGCAGACUUUAAAAGAGUCUGAUAUUGAAGAAGAUUAUUGAUUCUCAUUUAGCUCGUGUUAUAAACCAUCUUCUCGUCAUCUUCUUGAUGGCAUCAGCUGUAACGUUGGUUUU
rnacentral:lncRNA from 1 species